GGGGGGGGGGGGGGGGGAGGGGAGGAGCCCGCGGUGUCGGGGUCGCUCGGUCAAUGUGGGGCUCCGUCAGGCCGCACCUGUCCUGCCGCCUCCCGUCUCUGGGCACCGGCUGCCUCCGGCUGGCGGCCCGGGAUGGUCGGGCCUUUGGAUGCCGCUUGGCCGCGGGUAAGGCGUGUGGACACAGUCCCCGCUCAGGCCCGGCGGCCGCUCCCGGCCCCGUCUUCAUCACCACCCCCAUCUUCUACGUGAAUGCGGCUCCUCACAUCGGCCACCUGUACUCGGCGGUGCUGGCCGACGCCAUGUAUCGGCUCAAGCUCUUACUGGGGACCGACGCAAAGUUCACAACAGGGACAGAUGAACAUGGCCUGAAGAUUCAACAAGCUGCAGAUGCAGCAGCUAAGAACCCAUUGGAGUUCUGUGCCAGCGUGUCUGAGGAGUUCAAGAAACUGUUCCACAAGUCCCUGGUUUCAUAUACAGAUUACAUUCGAACAACAGAGGAGCGUCACAAAACUGCAGUCCAAUAUUUUUGGUGUGUUCUGCGUGACAAGGGCUACCUCUACCAAGCAGCAUACGAAGGCUGGUAUUCCACUCCAGAUGAGACUUUCCUUUCUGAUUCACAAGUUUUAGAAAGAAAAGACACAAAUGGGAACAUUAUUAAAGUAUCUUUGGAAAGUGGUCACAAGGUAGAAUGGACUAAAGAAGAAAAUUACUUGUUCAAAUUGUCUGAGUUUAAACCCAAGUUGUUAGAGUGGUUAAAGAAGAACCCAGAAGUAAUAAUCCCUGAAAAAUUCUAUCACAUUGUUCUCCACUGGCUUCAGGAAGAAAUACCAGAUAUAUCUGUAUCACGACGAAGGAGCCGCUUGAAGUGGGGUAUUCCAGUUCCUGCUGAUUCAACACAAACAAUUUAUGUGUGGUUAGAUGCUUUAGUUAAUUACUUGACUGUAGCAGGUUAUCCAGAGGAUCAAAAUCUGCCUGCCCUACAUCACAUUAUUGGGAAGGAUAUUCUCAAGUUCCAUGCCAUCUAUUGGCCUGCUUUCCUGAUGGCAGCUGGUUUGCAGCUACCAAAACAAAUCUAUGUUCACUCCCAUUGGACAGUCAAUGGCCAAAAAAUGUCCAAGAGCCGUGGAAAUGUUGUUGACCCAAUGGAAAGAUUUUCUGUAUACACUGUUGAUGGUUUCAGAUAUUUUUUGCUGCGGCAAGGUGUGCCAGAUGCGGACUGUGACUAUUAUGAUGAUAAAGUGGUGAAAGUUUUAAAUGCAGACCUUGCAGAUUCAUUGGGAGGUCUCCUUAACCGUUGUACAGGCACAAGCAUAAAUCCUGAUCAAAUUUACACAACAUUUUUCAAUCACUGCUUUCCUGAAAGACGGCCUGAAGACAACAGGCCCCUGAAAAGCAGAGCAACAACUGAAGAUUAUAAAAUGAUUCAGAUGGUUGAGCAACUACCGAUGAAUGUUAAGGACAGCUUCGAAAAUCUACAAAUUUAUAAGGCCUUAGAAGCCAUUAAUUUUUGUGUUCGAUUAACAAAUGGCUUUUUCCAAAGACACACUCCGUGGAAACUUGAUGGAAAAAUUGCUGAGGAUUGCUGCUGGCUGGAAACAGUACUUCACAUUACUUUAGAGUGCCUACGCGUUUAUGGGAUCCUAUUGCAACCAGUGGUCCCAACAAUUGCAAAUCAACUGCUUUCACGGUUAGCUGUUGGCCCACAUGAACGAGACUGGGAACAUUUGAACUUCUUGGCCAGAUACCACAAUAAUAUUUGCAUAUUUGAAGGAAGAAAGUUAGGUCCAGAUACAGGAAUCUUGUUUAACAGAUUGGAGAGGAUACAUAAAGCUCCAAGCAAAACUCGAGGCAAUCAGGAGAUAAAGUUGCAACAUAUUCUGAAGUAAAUCUGAGAUGUUAAGUCACUCACCGUCCUGUGUGAAUAAUGAAUCCUGAAGAUAUUGUAAUGACAUCAGCUCUAACCCGAAAAAUUUAUGAACAUUGGUUUAUGACUGCUACAGGCUACAUGUAACUGACCUGUAUGAAUUCAUUUUUAAGUCUGAUAUAAUUUCAUUUACAAACUGUUCUUAAUAUCUAACCACCUAUAGCAGUAAUGUAUUUUUGUACAGAAUCUAAUCUAUUUCUAAACCAAAUUCAUGCUCUUUGAGUAGCAUUUUAAGUUUUCAGGUUAUUUUAUUUUCUUGUGUCAGAAUAACUGGUAUGUUGUAUGGAAAAAUCAUUCUUUUUUGCUGUUGCUUCCCUCAGUAUGGUCAGGUAUUUGCAGGUUUUAUUCAUACAGUUUUAUGAAUCUGUCUCUCUUUCUCUGCGACUUAGUAUGGUACAUUUUGGAAAUUGAUUUGCUUCAAAGCUACACUCGCCCUUAGUUAUGGCACAUCUCUAUAAUGCUGCCAUAAUUUUGUCUGUUUUAUCAAAUACUAGACGACCCGUUGGGUCCCAGAUAUCCUCGAGACGUUCAGUUAUUUGAAAUUCCAUCGAUCCCCUGGGUCCUGCUUAGCCAUCCUCCUCUGCUGUACCACUUGUCUGGCCUGUGGCUCAGCCAUCCUCCUCUCCUGUGCCUCUUGUGGGCGUGGCCCUCGUGUGGGCGUGGUCCUGGGUCGCUGGGCCUGCCAGGGCGUUGACUCAAUCCGGUCCUGCGAUUCUGGGGAUUCCAGCGGUUCCAGGUAUUCCAGCAUGCCCAUCUGCUGCUGGUCGAAGAGGCACAGCUCAUCAGCGCGGGCCGCCAGCCGGAUGGGAUCCUCGAAGCUCUCCCCCGCGAGCUGCUUGCGGAUGUCUCACGGCAGCUGCUGCAGGUAGGUAAAUUCAAAGAACGGGCAGGUGGUCGCCCAUGAGCGUGAGCAUCUCGCACAUGAGGGCCGAGGGCAUCCGGUCGCCGAGCCUGCCCAUGUUAAAGACCUGACAGGCGCGCUGCAUUCGGCUCAGCCCGUUGAUCCGGAACAGCAGCUCCUUGAAGCCUGUGUACUUACCCACCGCCGGCGGAUUAUCCAGGUAAGGAAUUACCCCGACCGGCUGUCUGCUGGUCAAGGGCGCUUACCACAUAGUGAUAGCGAGUCUCAUCGGCUGUAACACCGUGGAUGUAAAAUUGGGAUUCGGCCUGUCGAAACCAAACCCCCGGCUGCGAGGUCCAAAAUGUCAAUUGCUUUAGGAAGACUCUGUUGAGUCCGGCCUCGUCGGCCUUGUUUCCUCAAAAACUAGUCGGACACGAGUUGUGUGCAUUAGACAUGUUUAAUCUCUCUAAUACAGCUCCCUACUCCAAGGACACAGGCGUUGCCCGGCCUUAAAUACCAAAUCAGGUACCGACCCCGUGACUAGCGCCUCCCACACAAAGAUGCCGCCCUCUAGAGCCGAUGGUUCGUUGUGACCUUGGGUUGUCACCAGGUGCCGCCACACUGGAAGGCUGAAAAUACCUCAAAAUGAGCAGUUUCUCUGUGCCACAUUAUUGGCCUAAAUUUGGUAUUUGCUGGUCACUUGUGCAGCAUAGAGUGUAAAAGAUUCUAUAACUAGCUGAUAAAAUAUAAUGCCACUAUUUUGAUGCCUCAUUCUUUUUGAUUGCUUCAAGUUGACAAUUUACAAUUCUAGAAGGCAAAGGCUUCAAACCAAUAGCUGGACUUAAUUGUACUCAAAUUAUGAUUAUUUUAAUCUUUAGAAUGAUAAAAACUAUCCACCGGAUGGCGCUCUGAUGGCAGCCUCGCCAAGAGUCUGUCCUUUUCGUCUUUUCUUUGUUAUAUUUAGUGUGU